rfam:Ixodes scapularis strain Wikel colony gcontig_1108378302828, whole genome shotgun sequence.
GCAGUCUUGGCCAAGUGGUUAAGGCGACGGACUAGAAAUCCAUUGGGGUCUCCCCGCACAGGUUCGAAUCCUGUCGACUGCG